UACGUAGGCAGCGAGCGUUGUUCGGAGUUACUGGGCGUAAAGGGUGUGUAGGCGGUUGUUUAAGUUUGGUGUGAAAUCUCCCGGCUCAACCGGGAGGGUGCGCCGAAUACUGAAUGACUUGGAGUGCGGGAGAGGAAAGUGGAAUUCCUGGUGUAGCGGUGAAAUGCGUAGAGAUGUGGAGGAACACCGAUGGCGAAGGCAGCCUUCUGGGCCAACACUGACGCUCAUGCACGAAAGCGUGGGGAGCAAACAGG
rnacentral:rRNA from 1 species